CCCAGAGGAAGUUCGAGGAAUCAGGUUUGACUGAUUUGGAGGUUGGACACGCGCGCAGCGGUGUAGAGGCGUGGUCGAAGGAUCCUGGGGGAGGUGGCUUUUUUUCGAGUUUGGAGAGUAUUUUUCUUUUUAUACUUUUUUUAUAGAAUAUUUUUUCGCAUAGUUAUUUUGGAAGUAUUUUCUUGGUGACUUUUUCUUGAAAAUUGGAAAGAUUUGAUCCCUGUACACAUGACGGAGCAGAUGUAGUGAGACAGUUUAGCGAGCAGCGGCGAGGAAACCAGGAAAUCGGUUGAAAGCGCCAUGAAUUGGUGCGUGGCACAGCCCAGCGUGUUGGGUUGAGUGCAUGGGGAGAGAGAGAGAGAGAGAGAGAGAGAGAGAGAGGGGGAAUUUCCGGAUAUAGUUGUUCAAAAUUUUGACGGCGUUUAGUUCUGUACAUACACGCGACCCUGUAAUCUUACUGUAAGCGUUUCCCAUUGGGUGUGUCCAUGUAAUUUACGAGCCCUUUGACGAGGUGCAGCCUGUACUACAACAUUUGUGCAAAUAAAGCGUCCAUUACCUUGAUGAAGGAGUUGAGGGGGAAGGGGGUGUGUGGGUGCGGGUUGCGGCAAUGUGUGGGAAUGUUGGUGGGAUGUGCGCAUGAGUUGAUGUGGAGUGGGUUGUUGAAAGGUGGGUGUGGUGGUGAGAGGAGUGUAUAUGGCGAGAGGCGAGUGGAGGUUGGGUUGGGUGUGCGAGAUGUAGACGUGGGUGGCGGUUGAUGCGGCUGUGUUGGGAAGUAGGGGAUGGCGGUGAUGCGAGUAGUGUGUGGUCCGCAUGCGCAGGGCUUGCUGGGCAUCUUGGGAAAGGGCAGUAGUCGCGAAGUCUUCGUGUUGUGUGUUUGGUUCAGAUAAUUGUUAGGUGUCACUGAACUGUUGGGAAGUUGAUGUGGUAUGUGUCCAUCACGAUGGUCGAUCGCACUGAUUACCGAUGGUGUGGAACUGAAACAUUUUUGCAUUUCCUUCGCAUGAAGCACAUUACAUGCUACGAAAUGUGGGUUUUCAUGAUUGGAACUAGAGUUAGCAAACUGAUGCGUUAAAUCAUCUAGUUUUAGUGUGUUUUUAAACAAAUUUUAGUGUGACGUUUAGCUUGACGUUUAGCUUGACGUGUAGUUUCAAGAUUUGUACUCAAUGUUUUGAAUUUUGUAAUCGUCCUAUUAGAAUCCAAUAUUGUGUGAAACGAAAGGAGUUCAGAAACUCGGACUUGUUUUGUGUAUGAUUCUUUUGGGACGGUAUUUCACUUUUGAGGGAAUGAUAGUGCACAUUCACUGGGCAUAUGUUAUCACCAGUGUAGUUGUUUGUCACAUUGGAUUGUCAUUUGCAACUUACAUGACUUGUAUGAUUUGGUAAUGGUUGUGUGACUAAUUGAACUUGGUCAAAUGUUUAAUUUGUAGUUGUGUGUCAAUAAAUACACAAAUACACACUGUGAGUUCACUCACUGCAGUUUAAUAUAGUAUUUCAUUAUUUUUAAGGAUUAUAGUCUUAUAUUUGAAUAUUUGGCAACUUGGUAAUGUAAUCAACAUCUUGAAUAUUGAUUUUCUUUGUGAUUUUGUAGUGGAUCUUUUAAAUAUGACAACAAAAUAAGUAUUUUAUAUAAUUAUGUCUACCCAAACAAUCUAAGUAUAAAUUUUAAUAUUUUUUUCUUUCUUUUUUCUUUUUAAUUUAUUUUGCAUUCUUUUGUAUAUUUUUGUACAAUUAGUAAUUAGAUUUGAUUUCAAUAUUAUAAUAUUUGGAUUAUAAUCCAAUUAAAGUAAUACUAUUAUUUAAAAAGAAAGAAAGAUUAUAUAUAACAAUGUGCAAUAAGUCUUUGUACUCAUGUUGAUGAAAAACAAGUCUGCUUUGGUGAGGCUCACAACCACACACAAUCUCAUGUAUUCACAAAAUUUAGAAGACCACAAUAGUACCAUCUAAGCUUCACUACCAUUGACACACACAAGCUCAUGUAUUCACAAAAUUUAUAAGACCACAAUAGUACCAUCUAAGCUUCACUACCAUUGAGUGUGACCUCCAUAUGUACUAAAAAUUGCAUGCAAUCUUCUAGGCAUUUCAUCUAUCCAUUUAUCAAUAGUGCCAUGAUCAAUGAGGUUCUAUUUGUCAUGUGCCACUUCAAACAAUUGUAAGGCAUCAUAAGGUCUCUCUCUCUAUACAAGAAACACUUUUUAAGACAUUGUUUGAGAAUCAUCCAACAACUUUCAAUUGGGUUGAGGUCUAGAGAAUUGGGUGGCCAAAGUAAUUGUGUAUAAUUACAUUUUCUCUAGAUUCUCACGUUCUCAGGCCCUUGGUGCAAUCUUACUCCAUUUGCAACUAGAUAGAUAUGACUUGUCUCAUUGCUUAGAUUGCAAAUAAAAGAAAUAAUGUAAGGUUUGUAUAAAUCUUGGGCAAAAUGCACAUCAUUGGAGCCAAGUCUAUUGCGAGGAGUAGUACACUCUUUCUUUGUUUUCUUCAUCACUAAUGCUACUAUAGAACAUCUUUUUGUAAUGCAUGCAAAAAUUCCAACAUUCUUCUUCCUUGACUUAAAACUAAGUUUCUUACUUUGACAUAUAUAGACCUUCUUUCUUGCAUGACAUGAAUCAUAGACUAUAGUGGCCUUUUUGAUGAAACAAAUUCUAGUCCAUUGCUUCAAAUUCCAUCUACGACUUUUAAAAGCAAAUUCUCUACGUUUUUCUUUUUGUCUUGAUAUCUAGUAGGAUUUUUUGCAAUAGAAUCUAUUAAUAGAAAAAAUCUUGCAAAUACUCGAAAAAGAGAGCCCAAUAUCUCCUUUUCUUACAAUCUCUUUCAAAGAUAAUAUAGGAUCCUUAUUUAUCACCUCAUCUACUAUACUUCUUACAAUCCUUGUAAUUUUUUGCAGACAACCUUUAUAAAGAGCAUCUCCAUUAUGAUCCUCCUAUAAAUCUCUUUUCUUCACCACCUCUUGAACUCUUGACUUUCCUACCUCCAAAGCCUUUGCAAUCCUUCUAUAACUCCAACAUGCUACAUUAUAGAGGGUGAAAAUCUUCUUAUUCAAUUCUUUUCUUGCAUCUCUUUGGCCAUGUAAAGGUGCCAUUAUAAAGACAAUUAAUUAUACUAAUUCAGUUGAAGGAGAUACAAGGACUUAUUGCACAUAAUUGUAUAUAUUAAAUUAUUGAUCAUAUAUAAAAAAAUAAAUUUAUAAAAAGAGACACAUAAUGCUAAGGUUAAUAUGAAAUAAUUUAAUAAAGUUUUUUUUUUUUUUUUUUUUUUUUUUUUUUUUUUUUUUUUAAUCAUAUUGUAAUUAUUGGUUUUAAAAGAAUCAAACUCUCAUAUAAAUAAUUUGAUGAAUGGUUGUUGCAAUUAGAAAAAGACAUGGAGGUAGUUAUAGAAUGAAAAAGAAUUUAAAAAAUAAAAGAAGAGAUUUUUAUUUUUAUUUUUUUAAUUCUAUUGAUAAUCAAACUUAAAAAAUAAAACUUAAAUAAUGUUAUAUCAUUUGUACUAUUAUCCAUAGAUAAGUCUUUAUCUAUGUUAAGCUUACAAUUUUAAGUUUGAAUUUAAUAUAAUUUAGAAUCUAAAAUCAUUGAAUAAAAUGAAAGAUAUUAAAAUUUGAAUGUGAAUCUUUUAAAAAGAUUUAUUAAGUAAUUAUUUUUCAAAGUGGCCUCAAAAGUUGCAACUAGCUUGAAUAAAGUUUUAGCAAAAGAUAAAAAAAUUAUGACUUUUUAGAACCUAUGUUUUGCUUGGAUCUAAAAAUAAGAAAAUAAUUCAAACUUGAUGUAGAAGUAAUCAAUUUCAUAACCAAGAAGAAGAUGAAUAUCUUAAUUAAUUACCACAACUUAUCUAUUGAGUGUUAUUUUUUUUUGGCAACAAAUAAUCAAAUAAAAUAUUAUUGAAAAUUAACUAACAUUAAGUUUAAAAAUCCAUGAUUGCUGAGGAGAAGGAAGUUGGCUCAUAAUUCUAGUGUUAAUCAACUAAAUAAUUCAAACAUAGUAUUUGCCAUAAUCUUGUAUUUAUACUUUGUCAAUGAUAAAAGAAAACAAACAAAUCAAUUCAAUGAAGAAGGUAAUAUUUUUAUUACAAGUCUGAAAUAAAUAAAAAUAUAAGAAUAAUCACAUCAAUCUUACAAAAGAAGGUAUUUAUUAACCUAGAAAUAAUUUAGAAAAUUUAAUUUUUAAUGUUAAAUAAAUAAAUAAGUCAAAGUCAAAUUCUAAUAGAGAUAUAUAAUAUAAUAAAUAUUUUAUAAAAAAUAAACUAUAUUUAAAAUAUAAUUAACUAUUAUCAAAUAUUAUUUUAAAUGUGCAAAUAAGAGCUUUUAUAAAAAAAUAGAAGGAAUAUAUACUAAAUGUUGUCAAAUUGAAAGAAAGACAAUGAAAAAAGUGUGACUAGAAUAUAAAUUGCAUAUAUAUAUAUAUAUAUAUAUAUAUAUAUAUAAAUAAAAAUACCACCUUCUAAUUAAUCAAUUGUAAAAAUAUUCAAAGACACAUGGAAUUAUUAUUAAUAGUCCUACUAAUGUUACAACCUUAAUUUUAAGAAAUAAUAUAUAAAUGUAUGAAAGCUUAUUUUUUUUAUGAGUAGAUAAAACUAAAUAAAUGCUCCUAGAAGACAUCAACAAGAUUAUGUAAGCUUAUUUGUUCCAAUUUAUUUGUGCAAAAUAAAAAAUAAAAAAUAAAAUUCCAAAUUAUAAUUAACAAAGAACAACCAAGAUUAUUUGUAGAGAUCUUAAUAAACUAAAAUCUCAACUUAAUAUCCAAUAUAAAAUAAUGCUAUAGAAACUAUAGUAAUUUAGAAAUAAGAAAAGAAAAGAAAGAUUUGAUUAUGUGUUUGAAAGUACUAGGAUGCAGAUAUAAAACAUGAUUCUUUACAACUUAAAAAUUCCAAAUAAUAGAAUAGAGAUGAAUUUAGAAAAAAUCAUUUUGCUAAAGAUAAGAUUUGACAUGCCCACACUCCCUAAAUAAGAGUCUUUAUAUAAAAACCAUAAAUGUCAAUUUUCACGAAAAUAGAGUCAAAUAAAUAAAAUGUUAUUAUAGAUAUAUAUUAUAACACUAGUAUUUACUUAUAUAAAAAAAAUAAAAUAGAAAUAAGUAUAUUUAAUAAUAUCUUGUAGAAAAGCUUUUUAAAAGCUUCAUAAAUAAAAAUUUAACUUUUUAAGUAUAUAUGGUGAUUAUUAAAUUGAAAACUUGGCCAAUAAAUUGGUUAUUUGUUGCACAUGACCCCCCUCUUUUCUUUCUUUUUUUUGUGCUCGUGUAGAGAUAACACGGACGAGUAGUUCUGUAAACGGUGGCCCCCGCCCAGCACUCGAAAGCUAAUGAUGUGUUUCUUAUCAUCCAAAAUCUCGAGGCGCUAACUACUGCAAGCGGUGGAGACACUGGAGACUAGAUGGACCUCCCCGAUGCUUCCCACACCAUCAUCGCCUUCAAUGAACUUACAAGUUGAAUAAAACUUUUGUAAACCUGAGGCUUGUCGAAACUGCGCACAAUCGCCCACACGAUCCGCAACGACACCUUAAUUUGUUGCAGCAGUAUGCGCCGCACUGGAGAGCCUUCAACUUGUGAGUAUGGUAACGACAUAGUAGAUCCUGCUGUGCCUCUAGCAUCCUUUGGAAAUCCUGCCGCCCCUUUACCUGCUGCACCAUACCAAGUGCUCUCAUCGGAUGUGUCGUGGUUGUAGUGGUAGUCGUCUUCGACUGCGGCUGGCUGCUCUCAGCACCGACUCUUUUUAUUAAAAUGCUCCCGACCGAAGAAGGCACCGAUUUGACGCCGCUGCCAUAUGACGACGACGACGACGCAGUAGCCUUGCCAGGGCGUAGUUUACGUGGCACAAGGCGUACUGUGUAGGAGAGGGCCCACAGAUUUCUAACACAGACGUAGGUUGGGUAUAUUUGAACUUAAAAGAAGAAUUGUGAUAUCUUAUCAGAUUGAAGGAUAUAUUUGAUAUUAUGACAAAACUGAGGGAUAAAUUUGCUAUUAAGAAGAAUACAUGGAUAUUUUUGAUAUUUCAACAUAUUUUAGGGGUACAUAUGAUAUUUUUUUUUUAUUAUUAUUGUGUUAUCAUGGUAGAACUUGUUGAAAUAAAGGGUGCAAUUGCAAAAAUGCAUGAGCAAUUAAAGGAUUUAAUGCUUGCAAUGUAUCAAUUCAAUUUACCACCACAUAGAGCAAUACAAUUAAUUGGAAGUAAAGAUAGAAAAAUAAUUGGAAUUACUUCAUCAUUUACACCAAAUCAUAUUACUUCUUUUAUAGUGGAGCAUUAUUCAAGCAUUAGAAAACUAAAAAAAUAUUUACUUAGGAAGUUUGAUGGUAUAAGAUUAAAGUUUCAAGGAUUUAUCAAUCAAAUACAAUUGGUGAUUAAGCUUAAAGUUAUCUAAUCCCAAGGUCACAAGUCAUGUUUAUUAAAAUAUUGCUUUUAGGUCCAUCUUUAUCAUGGAUUUUAUCUUUUUUUGAAAAAAAAGAUUUAAUAUUGGAUAAUUUAGAGGCUUUUUUGGAAAAUUUUUGAUCUAUGUAUAAAAAAUAUGAUGUAAUUUAUGUUGCAACCAAUAAGAUUUGUAUUUUGUAUAAAGACAAUUAUUUAGUUUUAUUAUAUGCUUUAGAAUUCCAAAACUUAUAAUUGAUAUGAAAUAAAAAGAUGUUGAAUUGAUCAAGCAAAUUUUCUAUAAAUUAUAAUAUGAAAUAAAGAAAUUGAUGCUAAAUUUACAUAAUCUUCAAAUUCUAAGUCAACCAAUUCAUUUUACUAUAAAGUGUGAUAAUGAAUUUUUUGAAUUUCAAUAUAAAAGCUUCACAUGUGUAUCUUAAUGUCUUUAUAAUUUAAUGGAAAUAUAAAUAUCUCUUUAAUACAUAUAUUUGAAAAUAGAAGAUAUAUAAAUUAAUAUAGUAUACUUUAAAUUUUUUAUUAAACAAAAAAAGACUUGAUGUUAUCAAAAAAUAUUGUGCUUAUAUUAUGAAAAACUCAUGUAUACUAUCCAACAUUAUUCAAAGAAGCAAUACAUCUACAAAUAAGGAGUAUGGUUGUCAAAGAAGACAAUGUGUUAGAAAACAAGUUUGUCAAGCUAUAAUAGAGAUUGUGCAAUUGAAAUCUUGUGUAAUAUAUAGUGAAGAUCCUAUUUUCAUUUCAAAAAAGACUUCAAAUAAUAUUCUAAUCAAGUAUAAGAAAUUAUCAAGAAGUUUUUGAGAAGAAAAAUGCAUAUAUUAUUUCAGAGUAUCAUCUUUAUGAUUGUUCAAUUGAUCUUUAAGAAUUAGCUCAACUACCAUUUGGAUUAAUUUAUAGCUUAUUAAAAAAUGAUUAAACUUCAUUCAAAGAAUAAAUUAAUGAAAACUUGGCAAAGAAUUUUAUAUGCUAUUCAAAAUCUCUAAUAGGAUCUUCUAACUUUUUUAUAAAGAAAAAAGAAAAAUUACUACAAAUAUGUAUAGAUUAUUAAAGAUUUAAUAAUAUUAUCUUAAAGUAUAGGUAUUAUCUAACUUCAAUAUCAAGAGUUCUUGGUGAAUUGAAUCAAACAAAGAUCUGCAUCAAAAUAGAUCUAUAAAAAAUAAAACAUUUGAUAUAUAUUAAAGAAAGAGAUGAAUUAGAGAUGCUAUUUUAAAUCAAGUAUGAAUAUUUUGAAUAUAAUAUCAUACUUUUUGGACUCACAAAUGUGCUAGUUAUUUUCUAAUAUUUAAUAAAUUUUGAUAUUUGAAAAUAUUUAGAUGAUUUUAUUGUUUAUUAUUUAGAGAUAAAAUUUUAUCUUUUUAGUAUUAUAAAUAUAAAAAAAUCACAAAUAAUAAUAGAAAAUAUAAUACAAUCUUUACCAAACCUCAUUUUUUUAUAACCAAAAUUUAUUUGAUUCUUUAUGUUAGUUAUGAAAGAUGUUAUCAAUGAAAAGUAUUAACUUUUUUUUAUUACAUAUACAAGAUUCUUAGAUGGCUUCUAUGUGUAUUUUUUAAUUUUAUAUUUUUUCUAAUGCACAAGAUAUUUUAACCUAUUUCAAUAUUGAUUUAAGUUUAAGACUUCUAUAAUAUCACAUCUUUAUUAUUGUUCAUUUUUAAAAGAAGUGAAAUUUGUCUUUUUUUUGGUAUAUCUACAAGCUUAUAUAGCUUAAAAAGAGACCUGUAGAAUAUAUGAUGGAUUAUUAUAGAUUUUGGUAGGUGUAAUCAAUAAGCAAUUAAAUUGCUUUCUUUAUAAAUUAGAAAUGGUUUAGGUCUAUAAUAAUCUAAUUUAUCAUAAGAACAACUAGUCUUGAUCUUAUGAUGAAGUAAUCAUAUUUUGUUGCUUUUAUGAAAAUAAAGUUAUUUUUUGCAAUAGAUAUUUGUUGAUCUUUUGUUUUUCUUGAGCUUUGUUUAAUUGAAUAUUUAUUAUUUCUUAUGGCUCUAAUAAAAAAAUUACCAAAUCUUUCAAUGUAGGAUUGUCAACUUUUCAAAAGUUAAAGAUAUGAAGUUUUUGAUGAUAAUCAGAAUUAGCAAAAAAAAGUAUUUAUUGAAUAGAAAAAUAUAUUAUAUUAUUAUUGAAAAACUUUUUUAAUAGAAAAAAAUUAUCUAAUCAUCUUGGUAGUAGUUAAUGACAUAUUUCAAAUAUUCCUUCAAAAUUUGAUUUACUUGUGAUUGUCCAUUGAUUUAAGGAUAGAAAAUCAAAGAUAGUUUUAUAAUUACCUUCAAUAUCUUAAAAAUGGUUCUUCAAAAUAUUGAUGAAAAUUGAAUUCUUCUAUUUGAUAUAAUAUCCUUAAUCAAUCCAUGAUAGUAAUAAAUAUUGCUAAAAAAGGUUUAGAUAUUUUUAUAUCUAUAAUAAAUUUUGUAAAUUAUAUAAAAUAUAUAAUCUUAUUGAAACCAUCUAGUAUCACAAAUAUAAAAUCAUAUCAUCUUGAGAUUAAAAGAUUUGUGAUAAAAUCCAUAGAAACAAAAGACCAUAUUUUUUUUUGAUAUUUAGAAUCACUAAAAAAGUUUAUAAGAUCAAUGAUUAGGAAUUUUUGAUUUUGAACAAAAAAUUAUGCAAUUGUAUAAAGAUUUUGAGUGCCUUCCACAUUUAAAGCUACCAAAAAUUUCUUGAUAUUAAUUCCAAGGUCUUGUUAUAAUCCAAAUAUAUUACAAUUAAAAAAUCAUGAGUUUAAAAAACUCUCAAAGAACAUCAUUCAUAAGAUGUUAAAAAGAAGCUGGUGUAUUUUUGAGCCCAAGAGCCAUAACAUUAUAAUCAAAAUGCACAUACUUGGUUUAAAACAUAGUCUUGUAUUUAUCUCUUUAUUUAAUUUGUACCAAAUUAUAUGCUUGUUAUAAAUCUAUUUUAGUUUAUAUUAUUAUUUUAUUGAAUUGAUCUCAAAGUUUUGAUAUCAAAGAUAGAAGAUAUGUAUUUGUAUUGGUAAUCUUAUUGAGUUUUCAAUAAUUUAUAGACAUUUGUAGUUAUUUAUUUAUUUAUAUUUAAAAAUAAGAUAAGAAUUAUCGCUAAAGAUUUUGAAUGAUAUAUAAAAUUUUUAGACAAGUUCUUGUUAUUAUAUUCUUUGAGUGCAUCCAACUUAUUUUGAAAUAAAUUAUAGAUGGCAAUUAAGUUCUUUCUUAAAAAUCAAUUGAAUAAUCUUAAGAAAAAUGUUUUAAAAAAAUAUCUACUUAUUGGUUUUAAAAAAAAUCUUAAUAAUCUUGAUACUUGUUUAGAAUUCCAUUUAAAAUAUUUUUUUCCAUGAAAAAUAGGUGUUGCAUAAAUAUCAAAAGGUGGCUUUUCUUUUGUAAUAUGCAUAAUAAUUCUUUCAUAUAUCAAUAAGGAUUUGGUUAUAUUUUACUUUUGACUUUUUACUUUUAUAAUAAAGUUUUGAAUUAUGCUUUAGAAAUAAUUAAGUUUAUAAAAAAUAAAAUCUAUUCAAAGAUUAUACUUUUUUAGCUAAGAUAAAUCUAAAAUAAUUGAAUUGGAAAAAAAGAUCUAAUUAUAUGAAAUAUUACUAAGCUAUUGUAUUAGUUAAUUAUUAUAUCUAAAAAAAAGAUUUUCAUAGAUAAUAUUUCCAAAAGAUAGCAAACAACUAUCUAUAACUUUUACAUGGAUGGACUUAGUUUUUUUGACUAAGAAUAUUUUCUAUUUUUUUUAAAAGUCUUUAUUUAUAUAAAAAAAAAUUAUGGAUUUUGAAUCUACAAAAGCAAAGACUUUGUAAUUUUUUGGUCUUAAAUAAAUAUAUAUUGUAAAAUAAGGUGAAGACUCUAAAAAAAAAUAAGACCUUUAUUAGAUGUUGUUUAAGAAUCCAAAUGUAUAGUCUUUAUUAUAAUUAAAAAAAUUAUUUUUUAAAAUAUUGUUUUAUUUGGUAAUUAUAUUCUUUCUUUUUUAAUUGUAUUGCUUCUUAAGAUAAUAUUUAAUAGUAUGCUUAGGUUUUUCAUAACAUAAGUACAAACCUUUUUUUGACAACAUUGAGUCUUUUUUCACUCAGUAAAGGAUUUGAAAUAUAUUAUAUCUAUUUGCAUAGAUUCUUACUUUGAUAAAUAAGUUAAUAAAAAUUUAAAAAUUACCAUUAUGAUUUAAUUUAUUUCUUUUCAAUCACAUCUUUGUUCUUAGAAUCUUCUAAAAAGUCAAUUAUUACAUACAAUGGUUUGAGCAGUAAAUUAUUUCAAUGAAUCUAUUCUUAACAUAGUUAAUAACAAAUUUUGGACAUUAUCAUUUAAUCCAAAAGAAAAUUUAAUGAUAAAGUCUUUAUCAUUCUAAUUAACAUUAUAAGUAAGAUUUUGGAAUUUAACAAUAUAUAUAAUGACUGUAUAUUAUCUUUAGUGUAAAGAUAAGAGUUUGGUCUUUAUUACCUUUUUUCAAUCAGUUUCUCCAAAUAUGGCCAUGAAUACUUUCAAAAAUGAAUUUAGAUCAUAAAAAUAUUUUAGAUCUUUUUCCAUCAAAAGUAUAAAUUAAAUAAAAAUACUUUCUAAUAUAAAUGUACAUAUAAAUCCAACUUAAGUAAAUCCAUUAAUAUAUUAGAAAAAAUACAAUCAUUGAUAGAUUUUCAUUUGUUGUAAGAAUCUUUAAAAUUUUGAUCUUAUUCAAUCAAACUUUUCUAACAUACCUAUCCUCACCUCUUUCAUAUUUGUAAUAGUAAGACUUCUUGCUUUCAAUUGUGACAUUGAUCUAUUUGCUUCUUUCAAUUAUGCAACUUCUUGGUGUAGACUUUAAAUUUUAUUGUUGGCUUCUUCUAUAAGUAUUAAAAUAAUACCUCCAUGAUUGACAUGGCAAUACAUGAGAUUUUUAUCUUUAGAAUAUUGACAAGCUUGUAAAAAUUAAUAAUAGUUGAAAAUCUAUUUUCACCUCCUUCAAAUAUAGCACCCAUAAUUUUUAUUUCUAUCUCCAUAUUAAAUAAUUUUAAAACACAACAAAAGAAUUAAGAUAGUUUACUCAUUUUUAAAUAAAAAUAAGAAUAAUAAAUUAGCAUUCUUAUCAAAUUGUAAAGGACAUAAAUUACAAAGAAUCAAAUGAUCAAUAUACUCUUGUAUCACUUAAAUAGAAUAUAUAAGUACUUAAAGAUGGUAUAAUAUUAAACUAGAAUGACUAUUGCAAAAAAUAAGAAAACUAAAAUUUCUUCAAACAAGAUUAAAAACAAAAAAGGCAUUGACAAGAAUAAAUAAGGCUUCAUUUUUUUUUUUUUUUUUUUUUUUUUUAUUUAUUUGUUAUAUGCACUAUUUAACUAAGAGAUAUGUGAAGAUGUUUUAUACAACCUUCAAGAUACAUCUACUUUGCAAGAUACAUAUCUAACUUAUAAAAUAAAUUUUUUACAUAUGCCCCAUAUUGCUAGCUUGUAUCACAAGUUGCCAACAUGUAAGAUAUGUGGCCAACUUAUUGACUUAGUUUUUAAACUAAUAAUCAACUACAAAUAUAUAUAAUAUCAAAUCUGCAUCUAUGAAGCUUCACUAGAUUAAUGUUGUCUUUUGUCUUUCACCACGUUCUAAAAUUGUAGUUGUCUUGUUAUUUGGAUCAUAUUUUACUUGAUGCAUUCUUACAAGAUGAAUGGCCAAACAAAAAAUAUUUGGUAUUUCUUCUGGGAUUUACAUGCCAAAAAGUCUCCAAGCAGCCUCUAAAGCUCCAAUGUAUCUUGUAUCUAAGUAUUGUUUGAUCUUAUUUUGUUAUUUUUUAAAAUUAUAUUAUGAUAGAAUCAUCACUUUUAUAGAUGUAUUUAUAGAUAUAUAUAAUGGUACAAAUAGAUAUAUAUACCUCAACAUUUAUAAGACAAUUGUACUUCCAAGAUAGUACCAAGGACAUGAAACUUGAAGAACCAAAAAUUUAAUACAUUCUUGUAAAAUUCAAUAAGAAUAAAUAUUCAUUCAAAAAUAAUAUAGUAUUAAAAUUAGAAUGGCUCUUAUGAAAGACAAAAAGACCAAAAAAUCUUGAAAUAAGAUUAAAGACUAGAAAGAUAUUUAUAAGAAUAAAAAAGGCUUUAUUCUUGCAUCCUUGUAUACUAUCUAAUUAAAACCACAUGACAAUAUUCUAAAAAAACUUUGAUAUGUGUCUAAUUUGUAAGACACAUAUUUUAAUUUGCAAGAUAAAUUUCACAUAUAUGCACCACAUUGUUAACUUGUACAAGAAGCUACAAACACAUGCAAUACAUGGCUAAUUUAUUGGCCAAGUUUUUAACCUAUUAAUCACCUAUAGACAUGUAUAAAUGUAAAAUCACGUCUAUAAAGCUUCUAAAAUGCUUUUUUAUAAUAUAUUAUUAAAUUUAUAUAUUUAUUUAUUUAUAAUAUCUAAAUGAUUAUUAGAAUAUAUAUAUAUAUAUAUAUAUAUAUAUAUAUAUAUAUAUAUAUAUUUGACAUUAUUCUCUCUUUUAAGGAUGUAUUUCACGAAAAAUAAUGAUCAUAUAUUAAAAAAUUUAAAGAUGCGACAAAUUGUAUUUGUCUCAUAUUUUGAUUUUUAUUUAUUUUUUUAUUUUUUUAAAGAUAGUUGAAAGAUCCUCUCAAACAUUGAUAAUGUUUCAUUCUAAGAUAAGAAAACCAUUGUAUUAUUUGAUCAUUAUGGAGACCUUUAUAACUUCUUUCAAACAAAAUAUUUGAAAUAAAAUCAAGAAUUGUUCUUACUUCUAAUAAAAUCAUUUAACAUUAAAAAUAUCUUCCAAUAUUGUGAUAUCAAAUGCAUUAUAUCUUGCCAUCUAUUUGAAAAAGAACAUGUCAUUUUUGAAGGUAUUCAUCUCAAUUAUAUCAUUUUAAAGUUUGUAAUAUUUAUAAUAUUAUGUCUAAUAAUUAGCAAAUAAUUAUUCUUGAAUUGAAUUUAUUGGCUAUUGAUUUUCUAUCUCUUUAGUAUUACAAAUACAAAAAACUAUAAACAAGAAUAGAAGAUAGAAUGCAAUUUUUUUUAAGCCAUGUUUUUUUUUAUAGCAAAGAUUUUCUAUCCUUUAUCUUAGUUUGAAUAAUAUGGAGAAGUUUUUGAUCUUGAACAAAUGCCACAUAAUUGUACAAAUUUUAUAAUUUCCUUUUAUAUUUGAGGCCACAAAAAAUCUCUAAAUAUUAAUUCUCAAGUUUUAUUGUAUAUAAAAUAUCUAAUUCUUGGGAAGUAAAAAUAAGCUUAAAAAAUACAUAAUCAUGCUUUGUCUUUAAGAAUGUAUAAUCAUGACUUAAAAAUAUAGUAGAUUAAUCUUGAUUUCAAACUUAGAAGUAUCACAAGAUUUAAAAGAAUUAUUUUUAAUAUGAUGAAUAAAAAGAUCAAAAGACAUUCAAUUGAACUUACUUGAAAAAGGUUAAAUCAAUAGUUAAUUUUGAUUUCAUAAUUUAAAUAUGAAAAUAGUUUUACUUCAAGAAAAUCAUCUUUUUUUUUUUAAUCAAAAUAUGCAUUUUUUUAGUAAAAAAUAGGAACAUUUAGAAAGAGCUUUGUGAAUUCUAUCAAUACAUCUUAAUUAGAGGAUUUGUUAAAAAUAUAAUUUUAAGUCAUUUAAUCAUAUAAAUAUUAAGAUUUUUUUAACUAUUUAGGUAUUUAUUAUAAUUUAUAAUUAUUUAUAAAUUACAAAAGUCUUAUUAGAAAAAAAGUCAUAAAAAUGGAGUCUUUACAAAUUUUGGAGGUAAUUAUCUUAGUUGAUUUAAUAUUUUUAUUUAUUGUUAAAUAUUAAAGAUUAGUUAUUGAGACUAAUGUCUUCAUUGGUCUCUUGUUUAUAUGUAUUACUUAUAAAAAUCCUAUCAAUGAUUAGUUAGUAGUUAGAAGAAGCAUAAAAAAAAAACUUCAUAUCUUUUUAAUCAAUUAUAUAGAAGAUAGGAUUUUUAGUGGAUAUAGAUUGAUUUUAUUACUUUAUAAAAUAAAAGAUAGAAAAAUACAGACUUACAUAGAUUUUAGUAUUAUAAAAAUAUUAUAAUAUUUUUUAAAAUUUAUUUAGAAAUUUUUAGGAAUUUUAGAGAAAAAUUCAAGAUCUAGAUAAAAGUAAGUUUUAUCACCUUGGAAGCCAUUAUAAAAAAAUGGAACAAGAUUUGAAGGCCUUAAAAGGUUUUUAGGCUAUUUGAAUAUUUUUUAAUAUUAUGAUGAAGUCAAAAAUUCAAAAAUAUGAGUUCUACUAGUAGAAAAUAUGAUGACCAUCAACUAGUCUAAUCUUUCUAAGCAAGGAGGUACAUAAGUCUUACAUAAGUUGUAGCAUCUUGGAUGUAGGUAGGAAGAUAAGAUUAAGGCCUUGAGACUUCUUUAGGUACCCCAUAUAUAUUAUAUGUGAGCCUUAAUGAAGCUCGAAUCUUUGAUCUAAAAGUAAGUUAUCUUUGAGGUAUAAUAUUUUUACUUAACUUUUCAAUUAUUCAUUUUUUUAUCUUUAUACUUUUAUAACUUAUUCAUAAUAAUUUGAAAUUAUAUGUUUCUUAUGUCUUUAAUAAAACCAUCUAUCUAAAAAUAUAUUCUAAUAAUAUUUAUUUUUAUUUUUAUUAGAUAAAAAUUUAAUUAAUAGAUCAUAGACUAUUUUUAUUAUAUACAAUUAUUUGAUUAUACUUAUUUUACUUAUUUUAUAUUUAUUUUAUUUUAUUUAUUUUAUUUAUUAUUAUAUCUUAUAAUUUAUACCAAAAAUUAUAAAUAAAUCUUAAUUGAUGCCAUCUUGUAAUUUGGAUUGAUGGUGAAAUUUAUCCUCAUAAGUGUUUGACAAAUCUAGUUGUUUAUUGGAUCCAUAAGUGAUUUUAAAAUCAAAUCUUGAUAAGGAUAUGCUCCAACAAGCUUGGUGAAGAUUCAAAAUACAAGCCAAUAUAAAGUAUAUAAAGAUCUUAUGAUUUGUAUAUACAAUGAAUAGAUUAAAAGUGCCUUCUAUAUAAUGAUGCCAUUCUUCAAAUGAAUCCACAAUUGCAAGGACUUCUUUGUUGUGGAUGUUAUAGUCAAUUUCCAUUAUUAAUUUUUUUUUUAAAAAUAGAAAGCUAUGUAAUAGAUUUUAUUAUCUAUGCUAAUUUGUGCCAAAAUUGUAUCCAUAGCAAAGUUUGAUGUGUUUGUUUCUAUAAAGAAUGCUUUGAAAAAGUCAAUAUAAUAUAAGAUUAGUGCAAAAAAAAAUGACAACUUUAAGGCUUCCAAAGAUGCUUUAGUUUAUUUGUUCCAUUCAAGUUUUUCUUUAUGUGUCAAGUAUAUAAGAAGAGCUACAACUUGAGAAAAGUUUUUGAUGAAUAUAUAGUAAUAAUUGGCAAAUUUUAAAAAACCUCAUACAUCUAUGACUAUUUUUGAAAUCUUUCAAUCUAUGAUAGUUUGGACCUUCUUAAGAUCCACCAUAAGACAAUGAUGUACCUUAAGAAGUCAACUUGAGUAGUAUCAAAUAUAUAUAUUUUUUAUUUUAAUAUAAAAUCUUACAUCUUUAGAUUUUGUAACAUACAAUGAACAUAAAAUUCAUAUUCUUGUAUGAUCUUAGAAUAAAUUAAAGUGUUGUCUAAAUAAUAGAUGACAAAGUCAUUAAGAAAUUCAUAGAAGACAUCAUUCAUUAGAUGUUAAAAAGCAACUAGUACAUUUAUGAGUCUUACAUGCAUGACAUUAUAUUUGAAAUAUCUAUAUUUGAUUUAAAAUAUAAUUUUCUAUUCAUAUUUUUUUUAAUGCAUACUAGAUUGUAUGCUCUUCAUAGAUCUAUUUUAAUAUAGAUUUUUACUUAAUAAAAUUGUGUGAAGAUAAAUUUCACUUUUUAAUCCAAAUUAUAAGAUGGCUUUAAUUAAGAGUUGCUUGCAUUUAGUAGUGUGAAGUAAAAGAAGAAAAUAGCAAUAAAAAAGGAAGAUAAAAUAUAAAACAAAUUAAAUAAGAAAAAUCAAGAAAUUAUACAAUCCAAAACUUGACCAUAGUUUAUUUUUUGAAUUUUUAUCUAAUAAUUAGUAAAAAAAACUUUAAAAUCUAUUUAAAAAAAAAUUAUCUUUCUAAUGAUAUAAAAAAUACAUAAAUCCGAAUUAUUAUAAAUAAAUUAUAAAGGUUUUAAAAUAACAAGUAAAUAAAUAAAAAGUUAAAUAAAAAUAUUUUACUUCAAUGAUAACUUGUUUAUAGAUCAAGGAUUUGAGCCUUAGUAAAGCUCACAUGUAGUAUGUAUAGGUUCCUAAGAGAGGCAACGAGGCCUUGGUAUUAUCUUCUUAAUUACCUUCAAGGUGCUAUAACAUACGUAAAAUAGAUAUUAGUUCGUUUCUGUAAGAUAUUGAUAAAAUAGACUAAUAGUCUAUAGAAUAGUCAGUUUAGGAAGACGGAUGAUUGAUUUAGUUAUUAAAAGUGAUUAGUUACAAAAUUAUGAUUAGAAUUUAGGAAUCAAGAGCGAUUAUAUAAAAGUUUUAGAAGUUUGUUGGGGUGCCAGAUUGUGAUAGUCAUGAGUCAGGGUAAGCUUGGUGCUACCUCUUUGUUUCUUUGUUUUUUUUGUUGUUGAAGAGUAAUGGAUAGUUUCUGAAUAUUGAGAAGUGAAUCUAUGGAAUAAAUCAGAGAUUGAUUUAUGAGUUAUUGAUUAUGUAAUUGGAGUAUUGAGUGAUUGAAUUAUAUGAAGAGUUAUUGGAAGAUUAUGAUUGUUGUUUAUUGAGAGCUGUAUGUGUUUUGGACAAAGAAAGUUGGUAAUUACAGAAAUUUUGUGAAUUCAGAUUGGUUGGAGUGAAGUCUGUUAUUUCUAGUGUUGGAUGGAAAUUGUGUGUUUUGAGCGGUCUUUUGAGAGUGUAGGAUUGCACACUGUUAUUAUCAGUUGAUGAAGAAGUAUUAUUACUGGGAGAAAGUAUUGUAGUAUUUUUUAGUGUUUUAGUGGUUUGGAAUACGGUUAAUUGUGAGAUCCUAACAAGCAAAAUUCAUACACUUAGUCUUUUCCUGUGUUCGAAUUCCCAUAUAUAGGUUUAUUCUGAAAGAAACUGUAGAAUAAGUAAAACGACAAUCACAUUUUAGCACUGCUACCGGGGAUAGACAAUAGCAUUGAGUGUUAGGAAUUAACUAUCGAUUUAGUUAGAUGAGAGAUAGGAAGCAAAUUCAGUAGAAUAUAAUGAAAGAAUAUGGUUAUUAAGAAUGAGAACUUAACAGUAAAGAGAAUAUGAUAGUCGAAAGAAAGAAUAGAGAGAUUGCAAGCAAGAAAUUUAUUACGUAAUGAGCAAGAACGGAAGUUAAAAAGGAAUCAUCAAAAAAGUUGGUUUAAACCAUGGUUGCAUGCCUGUCGGCAUAUCCGAGUAUAUUCAGAAGCUGAUCAACAUCAAAUAUUUUAACAAUAUAUACCGUUAGAGAAAUUACAAAGAGCACUCAUAGAAAAUUUGGUCAAUAGACUAGUAUUUUCCUUGAGGCCGUUAAUUGCAAGUGGGAGAAUCACAGAAGAAUUGGGUAUUCUAUUGGAUAUGUUUCUAAUAACAAAAGCUUUUAAUUCUAUCAAAACUAGUUCCGUAGAAUAGCAUAAAUUACUGAUCAAUAAGAACCAAUUUAGUGUAUUUCAAAAUCCAUCAUUUUCACCCCUAAUUCAAUCGACUAACUUAGUAAAAGACAAUAAUAGGAAAUUGAGGAAACCUGAAAAUUUAGAACAAUCAAUUAGGAAAGGCGCCACUUGUUUUGACAAAAGAUUAAGUAAAACAUUAUUUUUUUCAAUGGCAAUGGGGGGUCCAGCGGUUCCAAUAGCAGUACAAAUGGGUGACAUGAGCGAUCGUAUAAUGAACGUGGCUCCAUUACCUAUUUUUAGGGAUUUUUUGGAUACAAAUCUUGAUCAACAUUUAUCUUAGUUUUUGACAACAUGUGUAGCCAAUAAUGGAAGAACUGAAGAUAUUUGGUUACGAUGGUUGCUAGCAACCUUAAAAGACACAACGUUUGAAUAGUAUAACUGUCAACCAGUGGGUCAAUUUUUCAAUUGAGAAGCAUUAAAAAAUACAUUUUUAAUCUAUUUUUGUCCAAUUGGUUUUGAGGAUCAACUUCGAGAAAGAUUAAUGACUAGCAAAAUGGGUCCAGGAGAGGCAAUGGAAUCAUACUAUGAUCGUGUGGCAGAUAUACUCCGCAAGUGGCCAAAUCACCAAAUGUCAGAGGCUUUUCUAUUGUCCAUAUUAAUCAACGGAUUGCACCCACCUAAAUUAAAAAUGUUUGUAAAAGAGGCUCAACUAAAUACGGUAACUGCAUCUUUCAAUAAAGCCAAUGUUUGGAAAGAAUACCAUUAUGAUCAAUUUUUAAUUGCGGGUGCCACGAUGAUUCCAGUUCAAGGCAGCUAUCAAAAUUUGACUUGGAACAGAUGAGUGGAUAGUUAUCCAUGGAUGUUAGAAACAGUGGCUAAUUUCAGUGCCAAUAUUCAGGGACCAGUUAAUGUCACUCCAUUGCAAGCUAUACCAUCUAACGUGACAACAACGUAGACUCCAUAUUUUCUAUAUCAACAACAAGUGGCAGAGUUAUCAAUAAUAUUAGCUCAAAAGAUUCCAAUGAAGCCUUGUUAUUAAAUUUGAUGAAGAAAAUGGAAGAAAUGUCCGUUAAUACGGUCAAGGAUAAGGAGAAGUGGCACAAGCCUACCAAUACUAGGACCAAUGUAUGGUGCAGUAAUUGUAAGGGCCAUGGUCAUUUGGUAACAGAAUGCCCUUCACCAUCACAAAUGAUAGGUCAAUGUACAUUUUGUGGAAGAAAGCACUCAACACCUAAUUGUUGGAAUUGGCAAAGGCAACAACAAUUCAAUAAUUAGACCAUGAUCCCACCGAUUCAGUGGAAUGUCAAUCAAGUUCAAACGGGAAAUAGAUUUGGAUGGAAUAGAAAUCGAUCUUAUUGAUAAAAUGGAGCAUUCAAUAACUUUCAAAGUUCCAAUUUUAAUUAGGGGUCUACAUCAAACCUCCAGAACUAUGGAAAAGAGCAGCAGAGGUAUCAGCAAUAUGCCCCAUCGGCGUCAUCAAACCAAAUACCUUCCAUACCAAUGGGACAACCAGGAUCAUUUUCUAAUCCUACAUGAAAUAAGCUUAGUAGGUAUAUACCAAUGGAGACAUCCAAUAUGCCAAAUGGAAGUGCAAGAAGACCACUUCGUUAUUUCUGUUGCAGACAGAUUCGUCAUUAUGCUAGUGAAUGUCCCAAUCUUAGAGCGAGUGAUGAUUAUGUGCUAGUGUAUGGAAAUUACAAAUAGUCGAGGCAUACUUAUCAGUAAUAUAAUGCUCCGUUUAAUUUCAAUAAUCGAGAUCAACAGAUCCAAAACCAAAGAAAAAUUGAGGAGAUAAAUCAAGGUUCUCAAGAUUCUCCGAUAAAUCAUGUGGAAUGUGUCCAAGCCAUUCUUACCAAGAGACAGCAAAAGAGGAAAGGACCAAUCCAACAUUUGGGUGAGUUUGAUGCAAAGGGCCAAUUUGAUCCAAUUACGGGGACAUCCAAUCCAUGUCCUAUUACGAGCUUUUUAUCCAUUCUGAGACCUGACUCAAUUGGAUAACCCAAUAAGGUCUCAAUUACAGAGGCUUUGAUUAUGUUUCAAGCUGUUCCGUUCUCUACGCAAUUUUGAGAAACGUCCUAUCAAUUGAAAGAUCCUCUUGGGGGCAUAAAUUCCAAGGAAGCUCUGGCUACUGUUUCAAUUCUAAAUCUAGGACGAAAAAAUAUCUUACCUCAUGGAGUUAAACUUAAACCAAUGAAAAGAAAGAGGAUAUUAGAAAUUACCUUAAAUAUGGAACCCUAUGAUAUUUUGAAGGAUCUGGAUGCUAUUCAGCCUUCUAUUUCUAUGAAGCAACUUCUAGCGGUUGCACUAGAAUAUUUUUCUACAUUAAAUUUAUCGUUAACACGGCAUAGGCAACGUAAUAAAGAAGUUUGUGAAGUCAGUUUGAACCCUCAUCCAAGUGCACCAACCAUCAAUGUUUCAAUUGACGGUAUUAUGAUCUCGGGUGUUCAAGUGGAUGGUGGUUCCAGCAUCAAUUUAAUGAACGCUAAUACAAUGGAUGCUUUAGAUUUGGAAUACUUAGUAUCCACAAUAUUGGUAUUAAUGAUGGCAGAUCAUAGCCAGGUUAAACCAAUGGAUAUUUUAUGGAGUGUUUAAACUAUAAUUACUGCUAUUGUGUAUGAAAUCGACUAUAUUAUCUUUCGGUUACAAUGAUUAACUUUAUUAUAUCCAAUUUUAUUGGGACGACCAUGACUUUAUCAAACGAAGGCCAAGAAUAAUUAGAGUCAGGAUACUUUGACAAUUGGCAAGGGUGGAGAUAAAAAGGUGUUACAAAUGUAUCCAAUACACUAUUACGGGGAGUCUCAAUUGCCAACAUUUGAAUUGACAUUGGACAAUGAGCUUAGCUCUGAUGAUGAUGCAAUAGCACUAAUUAUGGAGGCAUCCGUGGAAGCAAUCCAAUACUCUAGAGUGGUAUACCAAUGUGGUGGUACGGAGGAGUACUUGAUAUACCCGUCAGAUUCAAAAAUCUCUGCUAAAGUUAGUAUUGAUUGGAUGAUCAAGUAUGAUGUGCACCAUGUGAGUGCCUUGGACACAAGAUUCAGUACUUCACACAUAUCGGACUUAUCGACUAAUUUGAAAUCCACGCGAGAGUUGAAACUAAACAUCGUCGCUGCACCUUUAUAUCAAACUAUCAACUUGGUGACUACAGUAGAGCCUCGGACAAUUAAGGUCUACAAAGGUAUUAAGGAAUAGGAGUUGAUCUGCUAGACAAAAUUUUUCUUGCAUCAUAAAUCAGCUUUUGCUUGGACUUAUGAUGAUCUAAAAGGUAUCUUCUGUGAAGUCUGUGAGCAUCAUAUCAUUUUAGAGGAGAACACUAAAUUGGUACAGCAGAGACAACAUUGCCUUAAUCCUAAAUAUUCUCUCAUGGUGAAGGAGGAAUUAGACAAGCUUCUUGCGGUUGGUUUUAUUUAUCCAGUAUCAAAUAUUGAGUGGAUUUUUUCAAUUGUGAUGGUGUCGAAAAAGAACAAAAAAAUCCAAAUUUUUCAAGAUUUCUAGAAACUUAAUGCGGCUACAAAAAAAGAUUACAUCCCACUAUUUUUUACGGAUAGUAUGGAUAACAUGUUGUCAUUAUCACCAAGUAGUAAAAGAAUAAGAGUGGGGCACUAGUUAAAGUCAUUGUUUAGUGUUGUUUUGGAUUGCUUGGAGUGCCAUUUCUUGUGUUUCUUGUGUAUUCAAAAGUAGUAGUUCCAGUUAAGAGUUAACAGUGAAGAGUCGGUCACAAGUGUCAAUUGAAGAUGUUCCAGAAUGGUUGAGUCAGCAGCAGCAUCAAUUGGAACUUUGGGAUAUCCAGAUCUUGAAAUUAGAGGCUUAAGUUAGUGAAUUGGGAGAGUAUAAUAAAGAUCUCUCAAACCAGUUGAGAAAGGAAUCGAUGGAAGGAUUGGACGAGGACGCUGCUCAGAUAGGAAUGGGGCUAUGUAGAAUAGAUAUUAAUUCGUUUCUAUAAGAUAUUGAUAAAAUAGACUAAUAAUCCAUAGAAUAGUCAGUUUAGGAGGACGGAUGAUUGAUUUAGUUAUUAAAAGUAAUUAAUUAGAGAAUUAUGAUUAAAAUCUAGGAAUCAAGAGCAAUUAUAUAAAAGUUGUAGAAGUUUGUUGGAGUGCCAGAUUGUGAUAGUCAUGAGUCAGGGUAAGCUUGGUGCUACCUCUUUGUUUCUUUGUUUUUUUUGUUGUUGAAGAGUAAUGGAUAGUUUCUGAAUAUUGAGAAGUGAAUCUGUGGAAUAAAUCAGAGAUUGAUUUAUAAGUUAUUGAUUAUGUAAUUGGAGUAUUGAGUGAUUGAAUUAUAUGAAGAGUUAUUGGAAGAUUAUGAUUGUUGUUUAUUGAGAGCUGUAUGUGUUUUGGACAAAGAAAGUUGGUAAUUACAGAAAUUUUGUGAAUUCAGAUUGGUUGGAGUGAAGUCUGUUAUUUCUAGUGUUGGAUGGAAAUUGUGUGUUUUGAGCGGUCUUUUGAGAAUGUAGGAUUGCACACUGUUGUUAUCAAUUGAUGAAGGAGUAUUGUUACUGGAAGAAAGUAUUGUAGUGUUUUUUAGUGUUUUAGUGGUUUUGAAUACGGUUAAUUGUGAGAUCCUAACAAGCAAAAUUCAUACACUUAGUCUUUUCCUGUGUUCGAAUUCCCAUAUAUAGGUUUAUUCUGAAAGGAACUGUAGAAUAAGUAAAACGAAAAUCACAACAUAUAUUAGAUUUAUACACCUCUUUUUUUACAUGGACUACAAUAGCUAUUAGUUAUCCUAUUUUCUAUUCAUAGAUCAAAUAUUUUUGCAUUCUUGACUUUACCAUGGUGUUCAAAAACAUCCAAUUAGCUAAAGAACCUUGUGUGGCCUUUGAUUCUUGUGUAUUUCUUCAUAAUGGCUUCCAAAGUACUAAAAUCUAUUUUUAUCAAAGUCUUAAAAAUUAUUCUAAAAUUUCUAAAUAAGUUCUUAAUAAAUUCUAAAUAAAUUCUAAAAAUUUCUAAUAUGAUUCUAUAAUUUUAAUAUCAAUUUAAUUCUAUAAUUUCCUAUCUUGAUAAUUUUUUAUAGUCAUAAAAUCAAUUUAAAUCCAUUAUAAAUCCUACUUUCUAUAUAAAUAAUUAAAAAGACUUGAGAUUCUUUUUCAUGCUUCUUUUAACUACUAAUUAAUAUUUAUAGUUUUUUAUAAGUAAUACAUAUAGAUUGAAGGCCAAUGUAAAUAUUGAUCUUAAUAAAUAAUCCUCAUUACUCAAUAAUAAGUAAAAAUACUAAAUCAACUAAGUUAAUUACCUCCAAGACUUAUUAAGAUUCUAUUUUUAUAACUAAUAUUUUAAUUUUCUAUUUAUUUAAGGAUUUUAAUACUAUUUACAAUAUAAUGUGAUUUUAAGGACUCGAAAUGUAUUCUUUUGUCUUAAAACAACUAGUGUGUCUAUUUAAUGACUUAUAAGUUGAUCAAAAAGUCUUGAAAUCAAAAGUAGAUGGUACAUAUCCUUAAUGUUGAUCUUGUUGAAUCCUUGAUAGUUCACACACAUCCAUAAAGAUUCAUCUUUUUUCUUUUCAAAUAAGAUGAGAGUCUCUAUUGAAAAUUUAAAGUGACAUAUGAAGUUCUUAUUUGAGUUUUUAUUAAUACAUUCUUUGAAUACAAUCAACUUGUUUUGUGAUAGGUUAUAAAUUAUUUUUUGAUAGAAUCUUUGUAUAUAAAAUAGAAUGCACAUUGUGAAUCUAAAAAGACUAAGAUUUUGUGAUUUUUUGGUCCUAAAUAAAUUUCUACUAUAAAUCAAGAUGAAGAAUCUAAGGAAAAAAUAAGACUUUUGCUAGAUAUUAUGCAAGAUCUAGUAGCACGAUCCUUAUUUUUCCUAGAGAGACUUAUUUUCUAAUACAUUGUCUUCUUUGGCAAUCAUGUUUUUUUUAUUUUGUAGAUGAAUACUUCUUUAGAUAAUAUUGAGCAAUGUGCUUAGAUUUUCCAUCAUAUAGAUACAACCCUUUUUAAUAAUAUUGAAUCUUUUCUUGCUUAUUAAGAAGUUUGAAUAUAUCGUUUCAAUUUGCAUAGAUUGCAAUAUUAAUAAAUAAACUUUUAUAAACUUAGAAUUCAUUGCUAUGACUUGACUUAUAUUCCUUCAAUCAAAUCUUUGUUCUUGGCAUCUUUUAAAGAGAUAAUUAUUGCAUGGAAUAGCUUAAGCAAUAAAUUACUUUAAUAAAUCUAUUUUUAGUAUUAUUAAUAAAAAAUCUUUGAUAUUAAAUUUUAAUCCAUGUAGAAAUUUAUUGAUAAUAUUUUUAGCAUUUUGAUCUCCAUCUUAAGUAAGGUUUUGGAAUUUAUUAUUAUAUAUGGUAGCUAAAUAUGAUUUUUUAUUAUAAAUUAUAAAUUUGGUCUUUUUUAUCUUUUUUCAAUCAUUUUUUUUAAAUAUGAUUAUUAAGACUUUUGAUAAUACAUUUAAAUUUAAAAAUAGUCAUAAAUUCUUUUCUAUUAAAGGUGUAAACAAAGAAAGAACACUCUAACAGAGAAGUGUACCUAUGAAUCCAACUUCAAUAAAUUCAUAAGAGUAUUAAAAAAGAUGCAACUUUAGAUAGAACUUUAUUUGUUGUAGAAAUCUUCAAAACUUUGAUCUUCUUCCAUCAAACUUUUUUGGCAUACUUAUCUUUACCUCCUUUAUACUUUUAAUAGUAAGAUUUUUUGGAUUUAGUUGUGAACUUCAUUUGCUUACUUCUUUCAAUUGUAGAACUUUUUAUUAUAGACUUUAAACAUCAUUGUUGACUUCUUUCAUAGGUAUUGGAAUACUACUUCCAUAGUUGAGAUUUUGACCUUGAGAGUAUUGUCAAGCUUAUAAAAAAUUGUAAUAGUUGAAAAUCUAUUUUCACUUUUAGUGAGAGUAACAUCUAUAAUUUUUUCUUUUAUAGAUAAAUCAAAUAAAUCUAUAAGUUAUAUUAGAGAAGGAUAAUUUUUAACUUCUAAUAUCAAAUAAAAAUUUCUAUAAAGAAUGGUAAUGUACUUUUUUAAGGAAAAAAUCACUAUUCAAAAACUAAAAUGUUAAAUUGAAGGUGGAUAGUUUGCAAUCUUUAAAAUACAAUAAUAGAGGCAGGAUAGUCCACUCACUUCUAAAAAAAAGACAAGAAAAAUAAGUUAGUUGUCUUGUCAAACUAUCAAGGAUAUGAAUCUCUAACAAAUAAAAAUUCAAAUACUCUUAUAUAAUUCAAUAAGAAUUGAUAUUUACUAAAAACUAAUAUUGCAUUGAAAUUAGAAUGGCUAUUGCCAAAGACAAAAAUACUAAAAAAUCUUGAAAUAAGACUAAGGAUUAAAAUAAUUUUAAAAUAAAAUAAUUUUAAGUUGAUAUGAGUAAAGAAGACUUCAUUCUUACCUCUAUAUAUACUAUCUAACUAAAAUCUUCAUAACAACAUUCUAUAGGACUUUUGACAUGUGUUUAAUUUACAAGUCAUAUGUCUUAACUUACAAGACAAGUUUUUUAUAUGUGUACCACAUUGAAAGCUUAUACCAUAAGCUAUCAAUACAUACAACAUGUGACUUAUUUUUUGGCCAAGUUUUUAAUCUAUCAAUCACCUAUAGACAUGUAUAUAGAUAAAAUUUUAUCUAUAAAGCUUUUAAAAAGCUUUCUUAUAAAAUAUUAUUAAAUUAAUUAAUUUUUAUUUAUUCAUAAUAUAUAGGUAAUUAAUAGAAUAAAUAUAUAUAUCCAUAAUAGAUAGUUUUGGAUAAAAUGGAAUAACAUCCCUAUUAUCAAUAACCAAUUUUCAAACUUCAAAAGUUCUUCUAUCAUUUUAUCAUCAAUAUUAGAAAUAUCCAUCGAAAUCUAUUAUUAUUUCUUCUACAAAUAUUUUUAAGUAUUUCUUUAUACAACAAGUAGCUUCUAUAUAAGAUGCUUGAAGAUUCUAUAUUUAACAUAAAUUAUAUACCAUGCAUUGUAGAAUAAAUUCAAAUAACUCUUGAUCAUUGUCUUUAUUUGGAAAUUUUGUAAAAACCAUAUGAUGUACAUCUAUAGUGCAUCUAAUUUUUUUUUUUAUCCAAAAAAUUCAAAAUAUAUAUAUAUAUAUAUAUAUAUAUAUAUAUAUAUAUAUAUAUGACAUAUACCUCUCUUUUGAAAUUCAAUGGUAUAAAUAUAUGCAACAACAUGAUUAAAAAUAUAUAUAUAUUUUUUUAUCUUCUAAAAUUACAUAUUUUUUUAGCUCAAAUAUACUAGCAAUCAAAUCUAGAUGAUUUCUUAUUUGUUGUCACUAAAGUAAUUCAUUUUGGAUUUUGUACCAUCUUAUAUUUCUUAUCAUUUUCAUAAAAAUAUUAGGAUGUUGAUAAAACCUUAUAAUUAACAUAGAAUUUUAAAGUAUUUCCAUCAUAUGCCUUACACUUCUAAUGUGUGAUGAUGGAAGUAAGAUCAUGCAUCCUAAAUUAUUUGAUUUAUAUUCUCUUUCUUUAGGCUCGAUACUUUGAUGAGUUAUGACAACAUCUAUCAAUCCUUGGUACAAAUCAACAUGUAGAUUUCUUAGAUUAUAAUAUAGAUAUUGCAAAUUUGAUUGAUUAGUUGCUACCUAUCUAUCAACCAUAAAUUAUUGCAAUAGCUUUCUUCUAUGUAAAAUUGUGAAAUAUUUAAUAGGACUUAAAAAUAGUCAAUAAGUAAAAUAAUCUAUUUAUACAAGGUUGUUGCUUCUCCAAUCUUCUUGUCUUGCACCUUCUUUUUUUUCAACAAUAUCUAUCAUUACAUUUUGUGUCGUUAAACAAAGAUGCCAUCUAAGGAUUUUAUGCAAAAAAAAUAAUAAUAUAGUAAAGAGACAAAUAAGUAGAAUGAGCCUCAUGAAUCUUUUCUAAUAAAUCUAUUACAAUAUAGGUAAAUAAUAAUAUAGAGAAGUGUAUUAGACUUUGAUCCAUGUCCAAAAAAUAUUAUAGAAAUUUUUUCAAAGUGAUAAGAAGAUAAUAUUGGCAUCUAUUGGUCUAAUUCAUGAAGUGCAAAGAAACUACAAGAUCCACUUCUACUGCUCCUUCAUUCUAUGCUUGAGAUAGUAUUUCAUAUGUAUGUCUAUAUGAUUUAAUAAAUGGAUUUUUCUUCUUCAAAACUUCUCCAAUUGCUUACAUAGUUUGGCUCAAUAAAUCUCGAUUAUAUUCUAUUCUUUUAUCUUGAAUAAAUGAUGCACUGUAGAUAUAAAGUUGUACAUAAGUUGAAUCAAUACCUAUUUUUGGUAACGAUGCUCUUGCCAAAUGGUGUAACUCUUUAUUUACUCUAAAAUUUUAUAGAAUAUUUUUUUGAAGCACAAAUCAAUCAAUAUUUACAUCUAAGGAUAUAAAUACAUAUGUAACAUUGUACUAAUAGAUAUUUCCUUAAAAUUUCCUUGUUCUUGUGUCUUGGUCUUCAAAUAAGCAUUUCAAAUGCAAAGACAGAGAAAUUAGAAAUGAUAGAAAAACUUUUCCUUGAAAAAGAUUCUUUCUAAAUAUUAUUAACUUCUUUGAAGAUUGGACUAGAUCUUUAUCAAAUCAAUGCAAUGAGUUACAAUGAGAACAAAAAACAUUUAGUCUACCUAGAUUAUGUACACCUUCAGCACUUAUCAUUAUAAUCUUUCUUCAAUCUCUCUCUUUGCAAUCAUUUAUAACUAUUUCAGCUUCUUUUUGUACUCUCAUAUGUUCUUUACGUGGUCAUAAAGAAAUUGCUUUCUAAUUUAUUUUAAUCAUUGUCAAAGUUAGACCAUUCAUUGUAGCAUAGGUUCUACCAAAUAAUUGAAAUCAACUUAUAAGCAUCAAAAUUAUACCUACAUAAAUUUUCAAUAAAAUUUUAUUAUUCAAAUAUUUUAGCAAGAUUAAAUAAUACUUGUAAAAUAAAAAUAAGUGAACAUAGCUUAAUUAGUCAAAAUAUAAUGCCACAAUGAUUUAAAAAAAAUUAUAUCCAUGCAUCCUAUUGAUUAUGAUUAUACAUAGUUUUACGAUGACUAGCUAAAAUAAAAAGUUUAAUUUUUCCAAAAUAUUAUAUUUUACAAACUAAAAUGAAUACAUAAAAUAAUAUAUAUAUUUUUAUUUACUAAAUAAUAUAUUAAUAUUUAUUUCUUUACAAAUAUAUAUAUAUAUAUAUAUAUAUAUAUAUAUAUAUAUAUAUAUAUAUAUAUAUAUAUAUAUUUAUUGAAAAAAAUGAUAAAGCAACUCAAAUUUUUAUUAAAGCAACUUACUCUACUUUAAGCAUGAUUGCACUCUUGGAGUUCCAAUUCUUGUUCCUAGUCAUUUUUUGUUUCCAACCAUUGCUAGGGAUUGUCACGGAUAUACUCAUGUAAGCUAGUAAUUAUAUAUAUAAAUAAGUAGAAGUAAGUAAAAGUAGAUAAAAGUAAGUUAAUUCUAUAGUAUUUGAUAUGAAAGUUUUUUAGAAGCUUUAUAGACGCUGCUUUGACUUCAUAGGUGUCUUUAAUUGACUUUUUGGAUUAGAAACGUGGUCAACAAGUUGGCCAUGUGCCACACAUAUUGUUAGCUUGAAGACCAAGCUAACUAUGUGGCCCACAUGUAAAAAAACUUACCUUGUAAGUCAAGGCAAGCGUCCUACGAAGUCAAUAUAUAUUGGAGGUCCUAUAGAACAUCGCCAUGUAACUCCUAGUUAGAUAGUAUAUAUAGAGACAAGAGUGAAGCCUUCUUCACUCUUGACAACUACUUUCUUAUUUCUUGUCUAGUUUCAAGAGUCGUUAUGGUUUCUAGUCUUUAGCAAUAGCCAUUCUAGAUCAAUAUAUUAUCACCUUUGAUUGAUUUCUAAGUAUUUUCGAGUGACACAAGAGUGUAUUGAGAUUUUCUUUCUUUGGAAUUCAUGUCCUUGAUAGUUUGACAAGAGUGCUAACAUAUUAUUUUUGUCUUCUUCUAGAAGUGAGUGGAUUAUCCCACUUCUAUUAUUGUAUUUUGAAGGUUGUUAAAUAUCCACCUUUAAAUAAAAAAUCUUGUUUUCUAACAUUGAUCUUUUCCUUAAAGAGAGUGGAUUAUCCCUCUUUAUGGAAUUUGUUUUUAGAGGUUGUGGAUUACCCUCCUCUUAUUUAACUUUUGAAUUCGUUUGAGUUGUCUAUAGAAAGAAAAAUCAUGGAUGCUACACUUGGUGGAAGUGAAAAUAGAUUUGUAACUAUUGCAGAUCUUCAUGAGUUUGUCAACACUCUUAGGACCAAAAUUUCACGCAUCACCAACAUCAACCAUAGAAGCACUAUUCUAACUACUAUAGAAGAAGUUCAAAGUCUAUGCCAAGAAAUUGUGCAGUUGAAGGAAACAAGUCGAUUAGCCUCACAACCAAAUUCCGGAAGUUUUGCUUCUACAAGCUCGAGGGAGGCAAAGAUUAGUAUGCCUGAAAAGUUUGAUGGAACAAGAUUAAGAUUUCGAGGGUUUUUGUAAUAAAUUAAACUCUACUUAAGGUUGCAUCUUUUCUAAUACCCUCAUGGAUUUACUCAAGUUGGAUUCAUAGGUGCACUUCUAUCUCGAAGUGUUCUUUCUUGGUUUGCAGCUUUGAUGGAAAAGGUUUCACGACUACUCUAUGAUUUGAAGUCAUUCUUGGUAGUAUUUAUGGCUAUAUUUGGAGAAAGUGAUCAAGAAAGGAUAGCAGAGACUAAGCUUAUAUCACUACGACAAGGAUCACGUUCAACCACCACGUAUGCCGCUGAAUUCGAAAGUCUUGCUUGUGAUGUGGAAUGGAAUGAUAAAGCCCUUAUCAAUCAAUUUCGCUAUGGAUUAAAGGAUAAUGUCAAAGAUUUGUUAUUAACAAUGCCAAAAAUAGAUUCUUUAAAAUAAUUCAUUGCUCAAGCUAUUGCAUGUGAUAAUCGUUUAUUUGAAAGACAUCAAGAACAAAGAUAUGAUUGGAGAGAAACAACUCAAGUCAUGGCAACACCUUCUAAGUUUUUGGAAACCUUUCCAUCAAGGCCAGAGCUAAUGUAAAUUGAUACGGUACGUUUUAAAUCCCUCGCUGAGUAGGAAAAGACUAGACAACGUCAAGAGGGCUUAUAUCUAUAUUGAGGAGAAGCUAAACACACUGCUUAACAUUAUCCAAGAAAGCAACGUAAUAACAAAAUGAGGAGUACGAUUGCAAAAGAAGACAAUGUGAUGGAAAACGAGUUCCUUUAGCUACAAUAGGGACCGAGCGGUUGGAACCAUAUGCAAUACGUAGUCAAGGUCUUAUUCUCUCCUAAGAUCCCUCACCUUAUUUUACAAUAGAUGUGUGUUUAGGAUCCAAAAAUCAUAAAGUCUUUGCAUUAUUAGAUUCAAGAGCCUUAGCUUAUUUCAUAGACGAAGACUUUGUCAAAAAACAAGAAAUAUUGUUAGUCAAGAAAAUCAAAUCCAUACAUGUGGAAGUCAUAGAUGGUCGUUCAUUGUCUUCUAGUGAUGUUAUCCAUGAGACUGUUCCUUUAGAUGUAGUAAUUAAAGAUCAUAAUAGUGUAGUAAUAUUUAAUGUGAUACGAUCUCUUUUGAAUUCAGUCAUUUUAGGACUAUCUUGGUUAGAAAAGUACAACCCUCAAAUAGAUUGGAUUUCUUGUAACCUUAACUUUUCUAGUAGUUUAUUUCGAAAUUCUAUUAAUCAAGAAGAAAUACAUAAGUCUAGUACAUCUAAACGCUUACUAAUAGGGGCAAGAGCUUUCAUGCAUGUAGCCAAAGAGGGGUCAUCUUUUGCUUUAUAUGCCACGUCCAUUUCAGAUAGUGAAAAGACAUCAAGUGGUAUUCCUAGCCAAUAUGAAGAAUUCCAAGAUAUUUUUUAGAAGAAGAAUGUAGAUAUUCUUUCCAAAACAUCGACCUUAUGAUUGUUCAAUUGAUCUUCAAGAAGGAGCUCAACCGCCAUUUGGACCAAUCUAUACCUUAUCACAAUACGAGUUGGCUACACAAAAGGAGUAUAUUGACAAGAACUUGGCUAUAAACUUCAUAUGCCAUUCAAAAUCUCCAGCAGGAGCGCCAAUCUUAUUUGUAAAGAAAAAAGAUGGAUCUCUACGGAUAAGUGUAGUCUAUUGGGGCCUUAACAAGAUCACCAUCAAAAAUAGGUAUCCUUUACCUUUGAUUUCAAGACUUCUUGAUCAACUCAAUUAAGCAAAGAUCUAUACAAAAAUAGAUCUACGAGGAGCAUACAACUUGGUCUGCAUCAAAGAAGGAGAUGAAUGGAAGACUACUUUUUGAACUAGGUAUGGACAUUUUGAAUAUAAUGUCAUGCCUUUUGGACUCACAAAUGCACCAACUACUUUUCAACAUCUUAUGAAUGAUGUUUUUUGUGAGUUUUUAAAUGAUUUUGUUGUUUGUUAUUUAGACGACAUUCUAAUCUAUUCUAAAAAUACAGAAGAACAUAAACUCCAUGUUUGUCAUGUGUUACAAAAACUAAGAGAUGCAGGAUUAUAUGCCAAGUUGAAAAAGUGUGUAUUCCACACUACUCAAGUUGACUUUUUAGGAUACAUCAUUUUCAACAAAGGCCUGAUAAUGGAUCCCAAGAAGGUCCAGACUAUCAUAGAUUGGAAGAUUCCAAGAACAGUACGAGAUAUGCAAUGCUUUUUGGGCUUUGCAAAUUACUAUUGAAUCUUCAUCAAGAACUUUUUUCAAAUUGCAGCUCGACUUAUGUGUUUAACUUGUAAAGACAAAUUUAAGUGGAGUAAAGAAGCUAAAGUAGCGUUUGAUGGUUUAAAGAAAAAAAUUACUUCUGCACCAAUCUUGUAUCGCAUCGACUUCUCCAAGGUAUUUUUUAUAGAAACAGUUGCAUCAGACUUUGCUUUGGGUGUCGUUUUGUCAUAAAUAGGAGUAGAUGACAAGCUCCAUCUAGUAGCUUUUUAUUCCAGGAAAUUUUCAGCAAUGAAGAUUAACAAUGAAAUCCACGAUAAAGAGCUUCUUGUAAUUGUGGAUUCAUUUCAAGAAUGGCAUCAUUAUCUAGAAGGCACCUCAAGUCCAAUCACUGUGUACAUGGAUCAUAAAAACCUCAAAUAUUUCAUGUCAGCAUGCAUAUUAAAUUGUCGUCAAGCUUGUUGGAGCAUGUCUUUAUCAAGAUUCAAGUUCAUCAUCACUUAUCGACCAGAAAAAUAAUAAGGUUUGUUUGAUGCCUUGUCUAAACAUUCUUAUCUUGUACCAAAAGAAGGAGAUGUAGCUUUUGAGCAACAAAGAAUGGUUCUCUUGAAGCUAGAGCAAUUUCAUCUUCGAGCAAUAAAAUCAACAUUGAUUGUUGAUUUAACUUUUCUCAAGCAAGUUCAGUUAAGUAUGUCUUUAGACCCUCUUGUUCAUGAUAUCAAGAAUAAUUCUUCUAAAUCUCAUGAUGCCUCUAAAUUCGAAUUCAAGAACAACCUACUCUAUUUUGAAGAAUGUCUAUAUGUUCCAGAAGGAGAAGCACAUUUACGUGUUCAUCAAACUCAUCACGACUUUCUAGCAGCAAGACAUUUUGGAUACAAUAAGACUUUGGAGUUGAUAUCUAGGGAUUUUUGGUGGCCUCAAAUGUGGAAGGCAACUGAAGAUUUUGUACAAUCAUGUGAUGUUUUUUCAAGAUCAAAAACUCCUCAUCAUCGAUCUUUUGGACUUCUUCAGCCAUUAUCCAUUCCAGAACAACCAUGGUCUUUUCUUUCUAUGGACUUCAUCACAAAUCUUCCAAGCUCAGGUUUUUAUGACUCUAUAUUUGUGAUAGUAGAUCGCUUCACCAAGAUGGCAUAUUUUGUGCCAUGUACAAAAUCCAUCACGGGUUAAGAAACAACUAAGCUUUUUAUUGAUAAUAUCUAUCGCUAUCAUGGAUUACCAAAGGAUAUUAUAUCGGAUAGGGGAAUUCAGUUUGUAUCAAGAUUUUGGAAAAUUCUUUUUAAGAUUUUACAAAUGGAUAUAAAACUAUCUUCGGCUUUUCAUCCUCAAACUGACGGAUAGACAUAACAUGUAAACCAAGUCUUGGAGCAAUACUUAAGAUGUACCAUCAACUAUCAACAAGAUGAUUGGACAACUCUUUUGCCAUUCGCACAGUUUGCUUAUAAUAAUACGAUGCAUUCUUCUACACAACAAACACCUUUCUUUGCCAUUUAUGGUUAUCAUCUACAACUUGACAUGUUUGAUUUUUCAAAAGUUGAUAAUCCUGCGGCAGAAGAUAUGGCAAAUCGGUUGUCAAAGUUACAUUCAACAAUGAAGGCGUAAUUAAAAGAAGCUCAAGAAUGACAAAAGAUAAAUACGGAUGUCUAUCAAAAGAAACAACUACCAUUCCACAUGGGCGAUGAGAUAUGGUUACUUCGUCGCAAUAUCAAGAUCACUCGUCCUUAUGAUAAGUUGGACUAUCGAAGGCUUGGACCAUUUUCUAUUUCUGUAGAAAUCAAUCGAGUUGCAUAUCGUUUACAUCUACCAGAGUCAAUAAAAAUCCAUCUAGUAUUCCACGUAUCUCUUUUUGAACCAUACAAGAUAGUGGACAUACCAAGAAGAAGACAAGUUCUACCUCCUCUUAUAGAAGUGGAGAAUAAUGAAGAGUUUGAAGUGAAAGAAGUCAUAGAUUCAACGCUACGUCGAAAUAAAUUGAAAUAUCUUGUCCAUUAGCACAGAUAUGAUAUUAGUGAAUGCACAUGGGAGCCAGUAAAGAAUCUUGUAAAUGCAAUAAAGGCGGUCGAGGCUUUUCAUCGACGACAUGCAUCAAAAUCAAGAUAAAAAUCUUCCUUAUAAAAGAAACAAGAUCUAGAUAAGAUAACAUUCUACUUUUAAUCCUUAUUUGUAGCUUCUUUGUAGUUGUAACGCUAAAGAGAUGGAGAAUCAAUAACUAGCGGAUUUGACUCAAGAGCCUUCAUUUGCUGACCUACCAGACAAGACAUUACGAUUGUCACAACUUUCAAGAUGACACAAUCGAGAUGAAGAUCUUCAAGAACGACAUAUUCUUCUUCAAAUAGAUGGUCAGAUACAACGUAUUUAAUAUCACGACCUUGGAAGAGACUCCCGAUAUUUGGUGAUUUUACUAGAAGUAGAAACAACUCCUGAUGGUGUUCCAAAUGUUUUAUUCAAAGGAAGUAAUGAAGGCCUCAACAAUGAUCAAAUAAUUGGGUGGUCUUCCCGCCUUGGUAUGGGACACUACCGAUGGUUGAGAGGCCCUAUCAAUCAUCUUCGAAGAAAACAAAGAUGAGAGUAUGUGGCGAAUAUAAUUUGUCGCAACAUAUGAUGACCGCUCCCUAUGGAACUCGUCCAUAGAAGGGAGGGUAAUGUCAUGGACAUACUCAUGUAAGCUAGUAAUUACAUAUAUAAAUAAGUAGAAGUAAGUAAAAGUAGAUAAAAGUAAGAUAAUUCUAUAGUAUUUGAUAUGGAAGCUUUCUAGAAGCUUUAUAGACACUGCUUUGACUUCAUAGGUGUCUUUAAUUGACUUUUUGGAUUAGAAACGUGGUCAACAAGUUGGCCAUGUGCCACACAUGUUGUUAGCUUGAAGACCAAGCUAAGUAUGUGGCCUACAUGUAAAAAAACUUGCCUUGUAAGUCAAGGCAAGUGUCCUACAAAGUCAAUACAUAUUGGAGGUCCUAUAGAACAUCGCCACGUAGCCCCUAGUUAGAUAGUAUAUAUAGAGACAAGAGUGAAGCCUUCUUCACUCUUGUCAACUACUUUCUUAUUUCUUGUCUAGUUUCAAGAGUCAUCAUGUUUUCUAGUCUUUGACAAUAGCCAUUCUAGAUCAAUAUAUUAUCACCUUUGAUUGAUUUCUAAGUAUUUUCGAGUGACACAAGAGUGUAUUGAGAUUUUCUUCUUUUGGAGUUCAUGUCCUUGAUAGGGAUGGAGGCUAGAGGUUAGAAAUGUCAAGAACAGAGGCGACUGUUGAGAACAAAGGAGUAGUUGAGAAUAGGAGAAUAGCUUAGGAACGUGGUAUGUGGGUCGAUUGAAUAAAAAUUUGGAUUGCUUUAUCAUUUUCCUAUAUUUAUGCAAAUAAAGUUGAAUUUAAAAAAAUUCACAUAAAAGCAAGGAAUUAAAUUCUUAUAAUUCAAUUUUUAUACAACAAUUCUUAUUGUAAUUGACAAUACUUUUAAAAUUCCAAUAAAACUUUGUUAUUCAAGAAUUUUAUUUAUAAUGAAGAUAUAAUAUGAAAUAUAAUAUAAUAAAUAUACUAUAAGAACUAUAAAAACUAUAAAUAUAAAUAUAAAAACUACAUGUAGAUAAAUUAAGAUAAAAACUAUAAAAAAAAUUAAAUAUAAAAAUAAAAAUUUCUAUAUAUAAAACUAUAAAAUGAAAAAAAUGAUAAAACGAUUUUAUUUCUUGUAAAAUUCUAUAUCUUAUAAAACUUUAAAACUUUAAAACUAUAAAUAUAAAAAUAUAAAGAUAUUUGAUAUAACUAUAAAACUAUAAAAAUACUACAAAUACUAUCUACAGUGAUCAAAUACAAACUGUAAAUACUGUCUUUACAUACUGCAAAUACUGUGUUUACAUACUGAUAAUACUGUGUUUUAAAUACUGGUCCAAGUAAGGAGAGGUCUGUAAAGCUCCAGCUUGUGAACUUCCCAACAUAACUUUGCUGCGAAAACUUCUCGUCGCAACUUUCUUAAUCCCCCAAUUGCGCCCAGGAACGUCGUUUCAAGGGCUGUGAGGAUAAGGCGUAAACUAAACCGCUUAGUAAGUCACAUAUCACAAUCUUCUUUGAUGAAUUGCAAAUCAGAAGUACAGACCUGCACUGAAAUCUAGAUUGUGUGGUUGCAAUGACUCGUAAUAAAUGAGCGUCGUCGUCGUCGAUUGUAAUAAAUGAGCAAACCUGUGGAACCAAAACUCCUACAUCCCUGUGAGCGCCAUCAAACCACAACUCAAAAUUCAUCGCACACAAAAAAUAAAAAUAAAAAUAAAAAAACGAAAAAACUCCGCAGCUGUGAACUCACCAUUCGAACACUUCUGCUAUCUGAAAGAACUCCGACACGUUCACUCAACCACAACCUCUUGACUCAAUCGUGCGCUUCGAAAAAAGCGCAGAUGUGACUCAAACACUGCCAAGGAAGAGUCCGGCAAGCAACUGACAAAUUUAGCUACAGAAUUCAACAACCUUUGUUCCCAACAACGAACAGGGAAAGCCUAUUGUAUCCCGCAACAGGGACGCGCGAUUCUGCCACGUACCGCACACUCGUCAGUGAGAGCGACGCCGAAGCUUCUGUGAACGCCGUUGCCACGGAGUUCGUAAGGCGAUUGCUCCGUCUUAAGCAAAAGCCAAUUUCUUCACUGAUUUCACUGAUUGUGAACUGAAAAUGCUGAUUUUAUCAACAAAUCGAAGUUUACAUCGUCUGUAAGAGAAUUACUCGAUUCAUUGUUAUUAGGUACAGGAUGUGAACCUUCCUAUUUUCAAAGAAUCAAAUUUUCAAAUUUUUUCUCCUAGAUAGUGCUCGUCAAAAUCCACGCCCGUUCCAUGUGACCACGUCGUAAAGCUUGCUGAGCCUUCCCCGAUGUAUUCGCCUUCCAAUGCUUCUUAGACUUCAAGUGAUUUGUACAGCAAAAAUGAAAACAUGAGCACAGAAGCAUACGUUGUAGUUGUUGAUAUAUUCAUAAUAUGUAGAUACCUUUUCCUAUUCAGGAAUUGGAUCGGACCAACUCGGUCCUCACGAAGAAUAGAACUCCACUUGCAUUGGGAACGCUUAUGGGAACUCUUUUAGGAACGUCUUCAGAAAACUUAUCGUCAAAAGCCCUCGUCUCCGUGGCGGCCUGUGCUAACGGAUUCUCUUCCAUAUUACCUCAAUCGCUGCCCGGCAUCCAAAGCUACCCCAGGGACAAAGCCCUGAAGGAUCCUGGCCUGCCCCCUACCUACCCGUAGAAAGAUUCGUCCUGCCCGGCUGAGCGAGAGGUCGAGAAGCAUAAUAAGCUCUCGACUCCUUCAUGCCUUUUUUUCUCGCUUUGCAUUCCAGCCACACCCCCGCAUCGCCGGCCGAUUUCUUGCACUCGUUUUCGCCGUGGUCGCAUUCCUCACCCUUGGCCCCCUUGUCCGGUAUGUGCGCACCUCCCUCCCUCCCGAUCUCAUUUUCGCAUCGUUGUUUUGGGUGCAUGGAUGUUGAUUCUAGGGGUUCGGAGGGUCUUGCAGAGUCGAGUGUUGUUACGAUUCGCAAGUUGUGGGCUGUUGAGAUUUUGGAUAAUAGGUGUUCAGACCAUCUCUGCGAGUUUGGCUUCAUGGCUCCACAUGUGGGUUUGUCUGUGCAUUGUGUAACAUGCAUGUGGACCCGUUCGAUAGUGUUAAGGUCCAGUUUCGGUUUGGGUGUGAAGGAGGGGGUGGUGGUUGUUGGGCUGUUGUCUUAAUGCUGAGGUUGUAGUAACCUAGGUAGGUAUCAUUAAAAGAAUGUUGCGUGCUGCUCAUUAGGAGCCAUGGUGAUUAGUGGCCUUCCUCGGCCUUUUCCCUUGGUUUUUCGAGACGGCUUAGUGCCAGGAGGUGAGGCAUUUUUGUCCCCCUUCCCCCACGACUUAAGAGGCAUAUGAACCUUCAUGAUACUCAUAUUGUUUGAGCGGGCGACGAGAUCGUUGGCUGAGAUAAAGGGUUAGAAGUUGCAGUGGUGAUACACCGUGACGGUUGUUGAGGGAUGGCGUGCUGGUUUUGCUCGUUGUCGAAGCCGUAAAGUGACUAAUCGCGUGUCAUAAAGUUUGAAACCGCAUGUUUGGGUGUGGUGUCUGAAGAUCUAUUCCGGAAUGUAUUUCUGGAUCUGUAAGUACACGAGUAGCGCACAUGUUAAAUGUCGAUUGCUAAAUGCUGCCUUUCUCUUCUUCUCCUCUUCUCUCUCUCUCGCACACAGACACACACAGCGUAGGCUGUGGCAAAUCCGAAUGAAUGGGUCAGCGCACGCUGCAUUAGGACUUCUGAGACACACUUCAGCUUAGAGGGAGCUUUAUCACAUUAGGAGAUAAAGACUCAGUCGUCGUGGUGCAAACCUUCUUUGCCAGGAUGUCAGGCUAUGAGGCAGAAGUGCGUCGUGCCCCUCGCAUAAUAGACAGUUCAAAGGCUAGGUCUUUUUUGAGGUACGGACCGACGCUCUCGGUGUAUAAUGUAGCCUGUCUUUAACCAAAAUUUUCGAAUAGAGAAACACCGUCUUCAAUCUUCAGCACGGUCAUUGCUGUGGUUCGUGGCUUAAGUUAUUUUGAAUCUCUCUCGGAUCGCUUGAAUUCCGUGCCUGUUAUUAGUAUAAUUUUUGGAGCAGCACCAGUUGGUGUCACGAAGGGCGGCCCAAAGAGAGUUGCCCGCUGUUUCCUUCCCUCUACUAUCAUACUACCACCAGGAAACCAUACAUGCAGCAGUCUUCGCCUUGCCCGACUGCUUACAUUUAUUUCUGUUAUUUUAUUCUAUUUUGGAAUCAUGAACGAUAUGCUGAACCUUACACCUUGGGAAAGUUUGAUACCAGUCGUGUUUUAUUGGUCCCACCUCAUCCAAGCUUGUCGAUGAAACCACCCAUCCUCUUGUUGCGAUGUAUGUCUAGUUUAUCCUUCGUUUUCGUGGCACGGGACAAUAUUAGGCGUAGGUACACGUACGUGAAUCUAGUUACAUUUGGAAUUUCACGUUAUUGCUGGAGUUGAGAUUAACAUGAUCUUGCACAGUGUCAUUAGAGAGGGAAUCAAACUAUUUGACGCAACACGGAAAACAAUCUCAGGUUCGUAAACCGCUUAUGGCAUGCAGAAAAUAUUUGUUAACUUCUGCUUUACAAUCUGUAUGUGAAUCCACAUAUUCUGAUCAGAUGUGUGGAAUAGUGGAAAGAGCGGCGUGAAAUAGGAUUAUUGGUGUGUCAAUGCGGUCGUGGUCCUCAAGGGAGCCAGCAAUAAAUCUGAUGUACGGUCUCUGGUCCUUUUGCAGGAUCAUCUUACCGCACACUUGUAUAUACAUGAGGCUGCUGUACAUGAAGAGUUUAAUUUUGUACACAUACACCCACGGUGUCUUUGGACUUGGAGCAAUAUAGGUUUUGGAAGUUGUUGAAACUGGGAAUGCGGUAACGUGCUUGGGUAAGAGUGAUAGACUGAAGACGGGGUUCGUUGGGGCUGGAAGCGCACGAAUCAGCAAAACUGGAGAUCGCAAGGAACCUAGGUGGUGUCCAGCACCUGGCUGGGGCCUGGAACUCGUUGGAGAGCCGUCCAGAGAUGAACGAGAGGAGACGACCUUUGUCGGGAUUUCGAGUGGAGGGAAACGAUGAGGAGGUGAUUUGUCCGAAACCGCGGCGACCAACGAACGUGUCGUGUCCUGUAAACGAGUUGAUGAAGCCUCCAAGGCGGCGACGAGGGUACGUGUGGAGCAUGUGUGGUUUGGUGUGGGUAACAUGAUAGGAGAGGUGGUAUUGGGGUGUAGCGUGGUAUGGGGAUGGAUAGAGUGUUGUAUGGGGCGUGGUGCUGUGACGGAACAUGAACCGAGUCGUGGUGUGCUUUGUUGUGGCGGUUGCAGUCAGGCGACGGUGCGAACAGAGGGAGAUGCGGGAUUUGAGUUAUUGGAUAUACUUCUGAGCAAGGUGAGUGAUCAGAGACCGGUGCGGUGUGGAUUCGGGAAUGCGGCGGCGUGCCAUUGCGGUGGGGGGUUUGUUGUAUUUUGUGUGUGUGUGUGUGGGGGGGGGGAUGAGUGGUAAUAACGGGCGUGUUACGUGGUUUUGGGGUAGUUGGGGCAGCGGUGGUACAGGAUGCGGGGUGGUAAUGUGUGGGCGUACUGUGGUGCAGGGUGGGUGUGGGGACGUAUCGAAUUUUGGGUGUUCGCCGCCGUACUUCUGCGGGUCGCCUCCGAGUCGGUCGGGGAAUCCGCUGAUUCACGACGUGCAGUUCCUGCAGAGAGCUCAGUCGGUUCUGUCGCAUCAGGUGUCGGGUCGCGGGCCGAAGUCUUUCGGCGGGAAUCCGAUGGUGCGAGUGGAGGGGUUUGCGUCGGGCGGUGCGGACUCGCGGUCUCGAGUAUCGGCACUUGCGUGACGGUAGGGUGGGGGUGGAAGUGGAGACGUUGUAGGUAGCGAGAGAGAAAGAGAGAGAGAGAGAGAGAGAGAGAGAGAGUGUGAUAUUGGAGAAGGCGAUGCCAGUGGGAGGGCGAAUAGAUUUUUGGUAAUGAUUUUGUGACGCUCCAAACGCGGUCAGAUGAAGUCGAAGGUGCACACAGCGGAAGCGGUGCUGGGUGUGCACGAGACGGCCCAGAGGAAGUCCGAGGAAUCAGGUUUGACUGAUUUGGAGGUUGGACACGCGCGCAGCGGUGUAGAGGCGUGGUCGAAGGAUCCUGGGGGAGGUGGCUUUUUUUCGAGUUUGGAGAGUAUUUUUCUUUUUAUACUUUUUUUAUAGAAUAUUUUUUCGCAUAGUUAUUUUGGAAGUAUUUUCUUGGUGACUUUUUCUUGAAAAUUGGAAAGAUUUGAUCCCUGUACACAUGACGGAGCAGAUGUAGUGAGACAGUUUAGCGAGCAGCGGCGAGGAAA
rnacentral:lncRNA from 1 species